ensembl:lncRNA
CACAGGAGGAAAAUGAGCUGUCACUCCAAUUCCCAGGAUGCCUUGCUGCUUAGCAUAACUCCACUCUGCGGCCCAGGGUCCACUGGUCCGUACUCUGACAGAUAAUUAAGAAAGCAGCAGCUUUUUCUAGACGGCUCUUCCUCAUGAUUUGCAUUUUAGCCAGAGGCGACCAGUUAUAAAAAAAACAUGAUGGAAAGAUGGUAAGAAGCCAAUUAGAUGGAUGGAUGGCUGACUGACAGCUCUCUGGUAUUACUACUCCAGAUUUCAUUCUAUGUAUCCUGGCAGUUUUCAACGGGAACCAACUCUGCAGGUGGAAGUUAUUCACUCAGAGGGUGGUGACGCACUGAACAGGUUGUCCAAGGAUUGCUGGAUGCCCCAUCCCUGGAGGCAUUCCAGGCCAGGCUGGAUGUGGCUCUGGGCAGCCUGGUGUGAUGGUUGGAGACCCUGCACAUAGCAGGGGGUUGGAACUGGAUGAUCACUGUGGCCCCUUUCAACCCAGGCCUUCUGUGAUUCUGUGAUUCUUCUGAGUGGAGUUAAAGAGGCCAUCAGUGAGUGUCUUACUGCUACGUAUCUGGCUUAAAAUGAACAGCUGCUCCAGAGAUCUGGAAAUACUCUCUUUAGUUUUGAAUAGGAGGAGAAACUGAAGCGGAAGCAGGUGUUUGUGGCUGUGUUGUGUGAGGUAUCCUUCCUCUCUUUGUAGCUGCACAGUCACUGGGAUCAAAUUUAAAACGUGCAAAACCCCGAAUUCCUCAGAAUGUGGUGUGAAAGUGCACUUUGCUCACCGUUGUGAAAGCCAGCCGGCGAGCUUUGAGUUAUUCCCGUUAUUUCAGGAGAGGCAUAUUCCCUCUUUCUCACUAAAAGUGAGAAUACCGAGGGAAGAGAGGUGGCAGCGUGGCUAAAAUACGGAAUGAGGAAGUCACACCAACCUGUUCUGCUGCUUCGGUUGCUCAAGAGCCGGAUUUCCCGGUGUCGGAACUGCAUCACGGCAGCACUAGGUGGCAAUGUUGCUACAACGAAAACUCCCAUCGCUCCGCUCCAGCAGAGACCCCCGCCACGCUUUGCAGACAAUGCGAAGAGCUGUCGCCGCUUCGGCAGUUGCAUGGCAUCGUUUGGGUUGGCCGGGACUGCUCCGAGGUUGGCUGGUUGGUUGGCGUUUUCAUGAAGGAGCAAGUUGGAGGUGAUAAAUUGGUGUUGCUCAUGGGUUUGGUCAUUCCUACUGAAUUUGCAGUGGAUCUGGGGGUUGUUGAGUAAGGCACAGAGAAAUGAGCUGCUGACAGUCGUGUUAGGAUGAGGCUCCAUCAUCUGACAAAGAUCAUGAGGACUCAAGCCUGAUCCUAAUCAUAAAAUCAUAGAAUUAUAGAAUGGCCUGGGUUGAAAAGGACCACAAUGCUCAUCUCGUUCCAACCCUCUGCUAUGUGCAGGGUCACCAACCAGCAGACCAGGCUGCCCAGAGCCACAUCCAGCCUGGCCUUGAAAUAAUAAUAUCACUCAUGAGACCAUGGAAAGAAUAUAACUUGUACCUUCCCUCGUGUGCUAAUUCCAGUGAAAUCAAAGCCAAAAUUGUGGGGUAUAAAGUUUAGGGUGUGGGCAGCUUUUUCCAAGAUUAGUGCAUCUGAAGAAGAGUGAGCCAAUGGAAGCACGGAACAGCUAGCAGUUCAAUCUGUGUUUAAUCAACUACAGAGAAACAGCGUUCAUCAGGUCAUGAUGCUGAGGGGGCUCUGCACACUCCAAGUAUUUAUUUUAAUCCUCCUUAAUACCCACCAUUUGCAGUUAUAGUAAACUGCAAACUGCAGCUCUGGUUACCAAUAGGAUAAGCGACACUUCUGGUCUGAGUUUACCUCAUCGCUCAAGGGAUCAUCAUGAAAAUUCAGAUUUUAAUUCCAUUCUAAAGAAAAUGUUGCAUCCUGCUGACAGUAGCUGUGAUGGAUGAGAGUAAAAAUGGCCAAAGUGCAGAAAAAUCUUCUACCCUUUGCCAGGGAAGGGGAGUGGGCUGCACAUCGUGCAUUUCUACUGCAAAGGAUGCUCCAAAAGUAAUGCCUUCUAUUUUAUUGUCUUGGGCCACGACGUCAGAGGCAGAUGUCAGUGGGAUGACAGUAGAUACUGAGUCUUCCCACCAAUAUCCUGCUACAUUUUGUUCUGUGUGACAGACAACAGCAGAAAGACAGUCUGAAAGUACGGCAUCUGACAUGGAAAUGGGUAUGGAGCAAAGGUGUGUAAUUGAAUUCUUCCUUGAAGAAAAAGCAGCACCUACUGACAUUCAUUGAUGCUUACGGAAUGUUUAUGGAGACCAAACAGUGGGUUUGAGCACAACAAGGGGUGGGUUUUGUAUUUCUGCAGUGGUGAUAAUGACAUGAAAUACAAACCAUGUUCUAGACAGCCAUGCACAGCUGUCAGACCAUGAACUGAAGACAGUCUCAAUCAGCUCAUCCACACAUUCUGCUAAUGGUGAUGAUUGUUUUUUGUAGCUGAAAAUUCACUCUAUUCAAUAGUGUUAUUUUGUUCUUUGUAUGCAUUGUACCUUCCAUGGAAAUAUAUGCAUUACUUUUAGAGCGACCUAUGUAGUUUAUGAACAGUUGGAUUCUCAUAAUGGAUACUCAGAGGGUGGUGACACAUUGGAACAGGUUUCCCAAGGAGGUUGUGGAUGCCCUAUCCCUGCAGGCAUUCAAGGCCAGGCUGGAUGUGGCUCUGGGCAGCCUGGUCUGCUGGUUGGUGAUGCUGCACAUAGCAGGGGGGUUAAAACUCGAUGAUCAUUGUGGUCAUUUUCAACCCAGGCCAUUGUAUGAUUCUAUGAUUACAUGAUUAUAUGAUACUGAAUUAAUUGGUGGUGAAUUGCACCAGAGUUAUACAGGGGUCAGCAUCAAACCUUGUGCAGCUUCUCAGUGAUGACCAGUGAAAUUCUUACAUGAUGCUCAUAAGGAUCCAAAGAGGCAUCAGUGGUAGAACGAAGGGUCUAAGCAAUCCAUUAUUCCUGUCUUGUUGAUUGUGAGCAAUAUUGAGUCAGAUUUUCUUAUUCUGUUAGCUUUAGUUAUCAGUUAAGUAAAUGCUGUUUUUCUUUACCUCUUACAUGAAGAUCACCUGCCAGAUCAGUUACUAGAAUCUCAUAGCAUGUUUUCUCAGAGUAAUGAUUAAAUAUAUAUAUAUAAUUAAUUUUGUAAUGAAUUGUAUUAUGUUGUAAAAUAUUGUAUUUUAUCCUUCCAGAGCAACAGGAGAAAUUACAGGCCUUGUUCGAGGUGUGUUCAAAGGAGAAUUUAGAAUUACUCUUUGGAUUUCUUUCGAGUGGUGAGGAAGGAAUUCAUCUUUAUUAUUACUUUGGAGUCUCUUCGAUUUCCUAUAUAAGUCAAAAGUAAUAAAAUGGAUGAACUUAUCAGAGUUUUGUAUAAGUAUGUGCACCCAAGCACUUGAGGUUGUUUAAUGGACUUACUCUUCAAACAGUAAAUGCAGAGCUUCUUGAAGAUUUUCAGUGGAAAAAAGUGAGUAAGGCUUUGAAUCAGUUUUCCUUUGUAAGUCUCUCAUUUAUGUAGGCUAUUUUAAAAUGAACAUGUUAUUGGACUUCUCUAUAAGGGUGGAAUUUGAGCUAAUUUAGGUGGAUAUUUUUCUUUAUUUUGAAACAAUCUUUUUAAUGAAUAUUGAUCUCACAACUGGUAUUGUAUUUGCAUAUUUCUACAGUGAGCAAGGCUGUGACUUCUCUAAGUCAAAUUUUCUUGUUUGGUGGGAUAAAUCCAUGAUCUAUUGCCUAGAAAAGAGAAUGUGUCUGGCAGUGGGCAGAGCUGAGAAGCCUGCAUUGGGAAUGGCUCAAAUAGCCUAUAAAAAUGCUGUCUUAAUGUUGGAAUAAUCUCAGUGCUGGAUCAAAUUCUUAAAGUUUCACUGUCCCUUGUAGAAAAUAUUAUUGAGAGUAAUACUGAAAAACAGAAGAACAAGAAUAAAACCUUGCUAGAGUAUACUGUCUGAAGAGUUUCACUUCCCUUUUUUAUAAUGCCAUUUAGUACUGUGAAAAUAGACAAUUCAGUUUCUCACCUUGAGCCAUACAUUUAGAUUGGAAGGGGAAAAAAAGGAUGAAACAAGGGAUUUUUGGUGUUUUCUAGCCGUAUGAACACACAUAGACUUUGUCAGCACAGUAAAGUUGUGCUGAUAUCUGAGGAAAAGUCAGAAGCAGCUGAAAGACAGAAAGUUUAAAGAAGUGAAAAGAUGUGCAUUUCUGGCCUUAUUCAUGUCUCAUUAGCUUCUGGCACACUGUAUUGCCUAGACUAGCAAAAACAGGUUUUCUUUCUCCUUUUUCA